AAUAUUAAAUCAAUAAUCCUAUCUCUUCCAAUUUCUUCUUUUAUUUAUUUUUUUCUCCUAUAUUAUGAUAAUAAUAUGUAAAUUAUUGCAUAUUCUAAACAGUCAAUAUACACUGAUUCAAUAGUUCGAACAUUAAAAAUUCUCACUAUCCUAGAUUUUAAAACUAAUUUUUCCUUUUGAUAUUCUAAAAUUGAUCUAUCAAUCUUCAAUUUUUUGACAAAUAAAAACAACGUGGGUAGUACCAAGCUUAUUUUGGCUCAUGAUUUUCAUAGUUUGAUGCACUAUACUUUCAUUCUAACUAUUUUAUAUCUAAAACAGAGAUUUCAAUUAAUAUUUCUUACUUAAUUGCUUUUCUUGACUUAAUCAUCUAUCCUACCUCCUAAAUUAACUUCUUGAUGGAUGAUUAAUAUAUUUAUCUAUUUCUUAUCAAUGUUCUACAGAAAUCAAUUUCUAUCUAUUCUACAUAGCUUUACUUUUCACUGUGUAGUGCCCUCACAAAUACAUUAUUUACAAUAUGGCUUGCCAAAUUUUAUUCUAUUGUUUCAAUCGACUUUUCACCUGUUGGCUCAUGUCGUAUCUCCUGCUGAUCUUCAUCUACUUCAAUUUUUGUAGACAAUUUACUCUUUAUAUCCUCCACUC
rnacentral:lncRNA from 1 species